rnacentral:rRNA from 1 species
AUGAACGCUAGCUACAGGCUUAACACAUGCAAGUCGCGGGGCAGCAUGAAGGAUGCUUGCAUCUUUUGAUGGCGACCGGCGCACGGGUGAGUAACGCGUAUCCAACCUGCCUGUUACCACGGCACAGCCCGUCGAAAGGCGGAUUAAUGCCGUAUGUGGUCCUUUGCGGGCAUCUAAUUAGGACUAAAGGUUCGGCGGUAACAGAUGGGGAUGCGUCCGAUUAGCUAGACGGCGGGGUAACGGCCCACCGUGGCUACGAUCGGUAGGGGUUCUGAGAGGAAGGUCCCCCACACUGGAACUGAGACACGGUCCAGACUCCUACGGGAGGCAGCAGUGAGGAAUAUUGGUCAAUGGGCGCAAGCCUGAACCAGCCAAGUAGCGUGAGGGAAGACUGCCCUAUGGGUUGUAAACCUCUUUUGUGCGGGGAUAAAGUGUGGGACGUGUCCCAUAUUGCAGGUACCGCACGAAUAAGGACCGGCUAAUUCCGUGCCAGCAGCCGCGGUAAUACGGAAGGUCCGGGCGUUAUCCGGAUUUAUUGGGUUUAAAGGGAGCGCAGGCCGUCCUUUAAGCGUGCUGUGAAAUGCCGCGGCUCAACCGUGGCACUGCAGCGCGAACUGGAGGACUUGAGUACGCACGAGGUAGGCGGAAUUCGUGGUGUAGCGGUGAAAUGCUUAGAUAUCACGAAGAACUCCGAUUGCGAAGGCAGCUUACCGGAGCGCAACUGACGCUGAGGCUCGAAAGCGCGGGUAUCGAACAGGAUUAGAUACCCUGGUAGUCCGCGCGGUAAACGAUGGAUGCCCGCCGUUGGGUUUUAGAAUUCAGCGGCCAAGCGAAAGCGUUAAGCAUCCCACCUGGGGAGUACGCCGGCAACGGUGAAACUCAAAGGAAUUGACGGGGGCCCGCACAAGCGGAGGAACAUGUGGUUUAAUUCGAUGAUACGCGAGGAACCUUACCCGGGCUUAAAUUGCAUUUGAAUAUAUUGGAAACAGUAUAGCCGUAAGGCAAAUGUGAAGGUGCUGCAUGGUUGUCGUCAGCUCGUGCCGUGAGGUGUCGGCUCAAGUGCCAUAACGAGCGCAACCCCUGUCCAUAGUUGCCAUCAGGUCGUGCUGGGCACUCUGUGGAGACUGCCGCCGUAAGGUGUGAGGAAGGUGGGGAUGACGUCAAAUCAGCACGGCCCUUACGUCCGGGGCUACACACGUGUUACAAUGGGGCAUACAGCGAGUUGGAUGUGCGCAAGUACGUCCGGAUCAAUAAAGUGCCUCUCAGUUCGGACUGGGGUCUGCAACCCGACCCCACGAAGCUGGAUUCGCUAGUAAUCGCGCAUCAGCCAUGGCGCGGUGAAUACGUUCCCGGGCCUUGUACACACCGCCCGUCAAGCCAUGAAAGCCGGGGGCGCCUGAAGUCCGUGACCGCGAGGGUCGGCCUAGGGUGAAACCGGUGAUUGGGGCU